CGGGCUGUGGCGCAGCUUGGUUAGCGCGUCGGUCUGGGGGACCGAAGGUCCCGAGUUCAAAUCUCGGCAGCCCGACCA
rnacentral:tRNA from 2 species